UGUGAGGUCCAGGGGCUCGAUCCUCAGCAU
rnacentral:piRNA from 1 species